AUCAGAUAAUAACGGUUAUGACCCACACGCACAGAUAUCGAUGCGCUCAGUAGAUGCACAAGACCACUAGAAUGAAAUGACAAGCAGCCCUGCAAUGUUCUCCAUUCAAUAAUAGAAUAGAUAAGAAUAAUUGUGUGGCUGCGAUUAGGUUAAGUUAGAUUAGUUUUUGUAGCACUUAAGAAACAUAUUUCUGAAAUAAAAUCAGAAUUGAAACUACAUCCAAAGAAUAAGGUUGUUCUUUCUUUUCUCAUCAUCGAUCCAGAGAAUAGAAUUGACAAUCGAAGUGGGAGAUUGGAUUCUAUUCUCAAAACAGGAUUAUUAAAUCUAAAAUGCAGUGUUGUGUCCGAGAAAGUCCAAAAACCGGUUAUAAAACCCCAAAUAGUCUUUAUUGUUAUAUGAACGAAAACUGAAUGAAUAUAUAUGAAUAAUAUUAAAUACACAGAAGCUAAUAUGCAAACAAAUAUUUCCAUGAAGACAUGUUACAAUAUUAUUUGAACAACAAGUAGUUUAUAUUUCCAACAUUCCCUCCUCUAAUUUUUUUGCGAAUUCUUUCAGAUCUUCUUGGGGUAAACUCCGCCGUAAAAUGAAACUAUUUUGAUUUUCAACUGGUUCGUUAGUUCCUUGUCUAGCUAGUGGAGAGUUGUGUGAAUUUUGAGGAAUUUCCACAGAUGCAGUUGGAAUUGAAGCUUGACUAAAUGGUUCCACACUUGUGGAGUCUUUGAGAUGUUGGGUGGUGCGAUUCUAUGACCCGUUUCUUCUCCUAAAUUUUGACCAGCCUGACUAUCUGGAAUUGCGUGGAAUAUCGAAUUGUUGCUUUAAGUUGCUAUCAGAGCAGACUUCCAUUCUGCUUUUUAUUUGAUUUUGAUGCCGUGGGAUUUCCCGGAGCUGUAUUUACCAAAUACAUAAGAUUUCCAAUUCUACCUUUUAUUUCUCCUUCUAUCCAGCGCUUCUUACCAGAAAAGUUACGUACAUAAACUUUUUGGCCAAUAGCAAAUUUUGACGGAAUGUUUGAUGUUUGGUAUCUUACCGGAAACAUUGCGGCUAAAAUUGUUCGGGGCUGUCGACCGUGAAGUAAUUCAGCAGAGGAUUUACCUGUAUGUGGGUUAGGCAUUGAUCUGUACGUCAACAAAUACUUGUAUAAUGCCUUUUCCUGGUUUGGCUGCUCUUUACUGUUAUUGUUGAAAGCGGUCUUUGCUUCGCAAAAUCUUUUGAAUUCUACUGACGUGAAUUGUGUACCAUUAUCACUUACAAUGGUACGUGGUAAACCUUCUAUUGCGAAAAAGCUUUGCAAUGCUGCUAUGGUUGAUGUCGAGUUGGCUGCCGAUACUGGUCUUACGAAAGGAAAUUUAUAAUAUGAAUCAACCGCAAUAAGUCACAUCUUGUUUAAAAACGGAAUAGCAAAAUCGACGUGUAUUCUCUCCCAUGGCUGUUCAGCAUCGGGCCAUGCUGAAAAUACUUGUCUUUGGCAAACACCAUUUUCUUGACAAACACAACAUUUCUUUGCUAUAUCCUCAAUUUCUUGGUCGAUGUUCGGGAACCAUACAUACCUUCUAGCUACUUGCUUCAUUCUACAUGCACUCCAAUGCCCGUCAUGUAGCAUACUCAGAACUCUUGAACGAAGUGAUUUUGGAACUAUUACACGUAAAUGUUCAUUAUGCAGAAGCAGUACAUCACUUUCUACAGAAAUUGAAAGUUUUCUUGCAAAAUAUGGUUUUAAAUUAUGAUCUAAAUUUUUCUUUUCCGGCAAACCAUUUUUAACGUAAUUCAUGAUAAUUUGUAGUGUUUUGUCCUCUUUCGUGUGUAACGAUACCGUACCGAGAUGCAUUUAGUGUCUUUGAAGCAAAUAUUGGAUAUUGGUUUUUCAGUGCCAUCAGGGAAUCUAUGUUACAAAACUGCACCAACUCCGCUUUUUGAAGCGUCAGUUGCGAGAAUAAUGGGAUAUUUAUCAUCAUAAUGGGCUAAUUUAGUUGCAUUCAUUAUAUUUUCUUUUAAUGUUUUGAAAGCCGAUUCCUGUCGACCAAACAAAUUUUGCAUUUGUUUUUCGAAGUUCGUUUAGUGGCGCUGCAGUUUUCGAAAAAUUUGGAAUGAAUUUGUUAUAAUAAUUUAUUUUCCCUAUAAAAGCCUCCAUUCUUUGAUAUUUGAAGGUCUUGGCAUAAGCUGAAUGGCAUCUAAACGUUUUUUUGAAGGUCUUAUGCCAUCAGAAUCAAUAAUGUGUCCAACAUAUUCUACCGAAGAUUUCGUAAUUUCACAUUUCUCAGCUUUACAUUUAAGUCCACAGAUCUUUAGUUUUUCGAGCACAUUAGUCAUGUUUUGGAUAUGUUCUUCGUUUGUCUGCCCCGUUACAAUUACAUCAUCGAGGUAAAUGGCGCAUCCCGGAAUAUCUCCUAAAAUUUCAUCCGCACUUUGUUUGGACAGCACUUGAAAUCCCAAAAGGCAUUAGUUUAUACUGAUAUAAACCAAAUGGGGUAUUGAUAACCAUAAUUCUUUGUGUUUGCUUUAAAAGUUGAACAGUGUCCAAAUCCUUCAGAAAACCAUACAUGGUUCAUUAUAUUACCUAAUUUACGUUUCAAAUCUGUAAGACUAUCACUCAAAACAUGCAAGCAGCGUUCUUUCACUAUAAUAUUGUUUGGAAAUUUCAUCUCAAAACCGAAUUCUUUGAGGCAAUCGUACCCAUAUAUGCUGGUAACAUUUUCCAAAUCAACUACGUAAAGUGGUAAUUUUCGUGUUUGAUUCUCAACCUUAACAUCAACGUGUAUCAUUCCUUUCAGAGGCGACAUAGCUCCUCCGUACGAUUUUAGUGUUUUAUUACUCGGGCUAUACAAAGGUUGGUUUAAUUUUCUGUAGACCUCAAGUCCAAUCAAUGAACAUGAAGCUCCAGUGUCUAAUUGAAAUGACAAUCUCUCAUUAUUUACCUUGAUAUGAAUUAUAAGCUGUCCACUCUUUCCAUUAUUGAUAGUGUCGAUUGUUUCAAUGUGACUUAUUGAUGAUUCUUCUACUGCCAUUCCCUGAAUUUGACGAAUGUUUCCAAAUUUUUCUGGUGACUUACAUACCUUUGAUAUGUGCCCAAACUUUGAGCACCUAUUGCAUAUAUUUUUGUUCUUGAAAUGAUAGCAUUCUUAUCUUUGUUGACUCUUUCCACAACCAGGACAAGACUGUAAUUUAUUUGGAGUAAGAUUUCUAUUUGAUUUAUUAUCUUGAAUGCUGUAACGCUUUACAGCAUGAACUUCAUUGGCAGGUUCCUUUCCAUCUUCGAUUUCGCUAGACGCCUUGACAGUUGCUUCAAAAACUGAACAAAUUUGCUAAACUUUUUCCAAGGACGGGUUUGAUUUUUGCAAACAUGCUGUUCGAAUCUUCUCAUGCGGCGUGUAUAGAACAACCAUAUUCCUUAUCUUAUUAUCUACGUAAGAUUCUUUGUAGCCUUCAUUCUCACACGCGAAGUUAUACUCUGUAGCAGCUCCCCUUAAAUCUGCAACCCAAUCUACUUACUUCUGAUUCUCCUUCAUUCUUAUCCGAUUAAAAAACUUAAAUCGGGCUGCCAAAAUAUGCUGUUUACUUUCAAAAUGUGCGUCCAUUCCGGAAACCAAUUCCUUGUACGUUUUUUCUUGAGCUUUUCCAUCAAAAAGCUUUUGCAAUAAUUCUACCAUAUCAGAUCCAACCCAGCUAAGAAAACAGGAACUUUUUGCGUUUUCACACGUAACUUGUUGCAGGCCGUUCACAUGCGGCGCAAAAAGGCAACAAAUAUAUGGGGCCGUGUUUUUUGGCAAAACCUGUCCACAACCACCGCAGAAAUUAUCCCAAUUCUGUUGGUAGUGCAUCCCAUAAUUGGUCCUCAAAUGGAUUUGCUCAGUUUUCCUGGGUUUUUAGUGAGGAUGGUGAGGAUGCUUCGAGAUUUCAAUUUGCUUGUAAUUUCUGCGGGGUGUGUAGUCCGGGUGGCGAUGGGAUCAAAAUGCCGGAAAUGGUUUGUUAGGGUUCGCUACGUACGAAAUUAGGCUCGAACAGGGUUGAGUAAAAGAGUAUUAUAAAGGUAGUAAAUGACAGGGUGACUCAGGCUAAGAAGUGACUAGGCAGCCCUAUGAUUGCUGAGUAGGUGGGAACCUACUAUAAAUAUGAUAAAAAUUUUGUUUAGACACAAUUUGAAUGAAUGAUUAUGAAAAAAAAAAAGCGGCACGUUGAAAUAAAAAUUUAAGAAAUAUCAGAAGAAUAGAAAAACAAAAGAUUUCGAGAGAAAUAAUUAAAAUGUUUUUGCUGAUGUCUCGCUGCCGUAUAAGGUUAAAGGAAAUUGGCGUUGUUUGGGGUAAUUGGCGAGUUGGUAACGUAAGUGAAAAGGGUUGGGCGAAUAGUUAGACAGCCGUUGAUUUUUAAAUGAGAGACUCAGGGGUGAGGUGAAAUGAGAAUUCACAAUAAAAAAAAAAAAUGGCUAUUGACAGUUGAAAAGAAAAAGGAAUGAAAAUUGAAAAUGGUUCAGGAAAAUGGUGUUUCGUGGAAAAUGAGCGUCUGGCGGGAUUCACUGAGAAGAGGGGUAUAAAAGGCUGCGAGCAUAAGAAAAGCCAAAGUUAAGAAUAAGACGUUACCGGUGAAACUUAGCUAGAGAGCAGUGAAGAAGUGGAAAAAUUUAAUUUGUGUGUUGCGAUUUUUUUUUAUUGUGAAUAUUCCGGUGGUGUAUCAAGCCUUUUUUGGAAGCACCGAAAAUUGUCCGGUUUUGGUCAGCACAACGGCGGGAAAUUGCCUUUUCUUUUUGGUAACGCAAGGUAGUGGCAAGUUGUCCACAGGAAAAAAAAGCCAAAAAAGUUACAUUGAGGGUGUGGAGAUUUGAAUUGUAAACUGGCCAGCUGCAACUUUGAGCUUUUUGCUGUGCCGGUUAUUGAUCCCGCCCAGAACGCCGGCAUUGUAAAAGGACCAGUCAACAAGUCCAGCUUCAUUUGAGGGUUUGCCUGGCGUUCAAAAUCUGUUUCCUCCGGAAAGAAGCGUAAACUGGAAGGAGAGAUAAGAAGAAUUAAUCAAUAACGUUAUAAAUCACUGCUCAGGUAAAAGGUGUCUUACCGUUGUGUUGUCCUUGAUAGAUAUAUUUAUAUAUAUAUGUGACGUCCAUAAAAUUUGCUGUCUCCUUUUUUGGAACUAAAAGAAAAGAAAAAAAGAGUUAAUAAUCAUAAAUUUCGAGAAAAAAAAUAUAAUAUUCAGUAUAAAGAUUUAGUAAUAAGAUAGGUUAUAGUUCUUAGGAUUUAAGUAAUAAUCAGUUUGUAAGGGAAAAAUACCGCGUUUAUUUUUAAAGGCUAGGAGGUGUUACAGUAAAAUUAUCUUGAGUCCUUGUGAUUCGAUCUGAUAGUUUAGGCCGUGGAAUUUUAGCGGCAAUUAGGCCGGUUAAGAGAGCUCUUUUAGGUGGCUAGUAAUUUCGUAUAGACGCGGAAUAUUGCGCGGGAAAAGCAAGGCAAAGGAUAAUAUAUUGGUUUCUACCGAGUAAUUAAAGCCAUAGAUUUAAGAAAGCCCGGUAUUAUUCUUAAUUUGUUUUUUUUUAUACCAUACAGUUUGUCAAUUUUAGUGUAAGAAAAAAAAAUAGUAGAGAAAAAAAUUAAGAAAAUAUUUAAAGCUAACUUAUUUUUUUUAAUAAAAUUAAAAAUGAUUCUUUUGUAAACAGUA